rnacentral:rRNA from 1 species
GUACGAAGGGGGCUAGGCGUUGAUUCGGAAUUACUGGGCGUAAAGCGCACGUAGGCGGACAUUUAAGUCAGUGGUGAAAUCAUCCGGGCUUAACCCGGAACUGCCGUUGAUACUAUCUGAUCUUGAAUAUAGUGGAGGUGAGCGGAAUAUGUCAUGUAGCGGUGAAAUGCUUAGAUAUGACAUAGAACACCAAUUGCGAAAGGCAGCUCACUACACGGGUCAUUGACACUGAGGCACGAAAGCGUGGGGAUCAAACAGG